UGGGGAAUAUUGGACAAUGGGGGAAACCCUGAUCCAGCAAUGCCGCGUGAGUGAAGAAGGCCUUAGGGUUGUAAAGCUCUUUCGCCCGCGAAGAUAAUGACGGUAGCGGGAGAAGAAGCCCCGGCUAACUCCGUGCCAGCAGCCGCGGUAAUACGGAGGGGGCUAGCGUUGUUCGGAAUUACUGGGCGUAAAGCGUACGUAGGCGGAUGCGCAAGUUGGGGGUGAAAUCCCGGGGCUUAACCUCGGAAUUGCCCUCAAAACUGCACGUCUUGAGACCGAGAGAGGUAAGGGGAAUUCCUAGUGUAGAGGUGAAAUUCGUAGAUAUUAGGAAGAACACCAGUGGCGAGGCGCCUUACUGGCUCGAUACUGACGCUGAGGUACGAAAGCGUGGGGAGCAAACA
rnacentral:rRNA from 1 species